GGGAGGAGGACUGCGGGCUGCGCCUGGGCAGGGGAUGAGCUUGUGUUGCGGGCGGCAGGGAGAAGGGAGUCGGAGAGCUCCUCGGCCUUGGUUCUGGCCUUGGUCCUGCCGCCGCUGCUCCUGCGGUCCAGCCGCAUGACUAAUGAGGUUGAAAGCGCUUCCGCUGUGGCCCCCGCAGGAAGUUCCCGGGAGGAAGGUGGAACCCUUUCUAAGCCAUCCCACUGGCCUGGACUCUGCUGGGAUUAUUUUGACCCCCCAGGGCAGAGUGUAGCCAUCUGACUGGCUUUCUCUCUCGGCAGGAGACGGGGCGCACGCCUGCAGGUUUUGGGAUUUGAGAUUGACGCGGUGAACUCUGUCCAGUUUUCAAACCACACAGGCUAUGCCCACUGGAAGGGCCAAGUGCUGAAUUCAGAUGAGCUCCAGGAGUUGUACGAAGGCCUGAGGCUGAACAACAUGAAUAAAUAUGACUACGUGCUCACAGGUUAUACGAGGGACAAGUCGUUCCUGGCCAUGGUGGUGGACAUUGUGCAGGAGCUGAAGCAGCAGAACCCCAGGCUGGUGUACGUGUGUGAUCCAGUCUUGGGUGACAAGUGGGACGGCGAAGGCUCGAUGUACGUCCCGGAGGAUCUGCUUCCCGUCUACAGAGAAAAAGUGGUGCCGCUCGCAGACAUUAUCACGCCCAACCAGUUUGAGGCCGAGUUACUGAGUGGCCGGAAGAUCCACAGCCAGGAGGAAGCCUUGCAGGUGAUGGACUUGCUGCACUCUAUGGGCCCCGACACCGUGGUCAUCACCAGCUCCGACCUGCCCUCCCCGCGGGGCAGCGACUACCUGAUUGUGCUGGGGAGUCAGAGGAGGAGGAAUCCCACUGGCUCCGUGGUGAUGGAACGCAUCCGGAUGGACAUUCGCAAGGUGGAUGCCGUCUUUGUGG
rnacentral:sRNA from 1 species